rnacentral:rRNA from 1 species
UACGAAGGGGGCUAGCGUUGUUCGGAAUCACUGGGCGUAAAGGGCGCGUAGGCGGCCGAUCAAGUCGGGGGUGAAAGCCUGUGGCUCAACCACAGAAUUGCCUUCGAUACUGUUUGGCUUGAGACCGGAAGAGGUAAGUGGAACUGCGAGUGUAGAGGUGAAAUUCGUAGAUAUUCGGAAGAACACCAGUGGCGAAGGCGACUGACUGGACAAGUAUUGACGCUGAGGUACGAAAGCGUGGGGAGCAAACAGG